GCCGUGGUGGUGGAAUUGGUAGACACGCUAGGUUUAGGUCCUAGUGCCGCAAGGCGUGGGAGUUCAAGUCUCCCCCACGGCA
rnacentral:tRNA from 1 species